rnacentral:rRNA from 3 species
UGCCUGGCGGCCUUAGCGCGGUGGUCCCACCUGACCCCAUGCCGAACUCAGAAGUGAAACGCCGUAGCGCCGAUGGUAGUGUGGGGUUUCCCCAUGCGAGAGUAGGGAACUGCCAGGCAU